CGUCUAUAUACGUAUAGCAUAUCAAUAAGCGGAGGAAAAGAAACUAACUAGGAUUCCCUCAGUAACGGCGAGUGAAGCGGGAAGAGCUCAAAUUUGAAAUCUUCAAGGUUUCUACCUUGACGAAUUGUAGUUUAAAGAAGUGUUUUCUGUUGGAGUUUUGGUAAAAGUUCUUUGGAAUAGGACAUCAUAGAGGGUGAGAAUCCCGUAUUUGACCAUUAUUUCCAACUUUGUGAUACACUUUCAAAGAGUCGGAUUGUUUGGGAAUGCAGUCCAAAAUGGGUGGUAAAUUUCAUCUAAAGCUAAAUACUGGCGAGAGACCGAUAGCGAACAAGUACCGUGAGGGAAAGAUGAAAAGAACUUUGAAAAGAGAGUUAAACAGUACGUGAAAUUGUCAAAAGGGAAGCGUUUGACACCAGUGUUGUUUUCUCGAAAAUCAAUUAAAAAUGGUGGGAUUUUGUGUUGUAUUGACUUUAUCAGCUUUCUGCACUUUUUUCCUAUCUUUUUUAAUGCACUUUUCGUUUAACAAGUCAACAUCAAUUUCUUUUGUUGUAAAAGGGUCAUUGGAAGGUGGCUUUCUUUUCGGAGAAAGUGUUUAUAGCCUUUGGACUUCUGCAAUCGGAGAGAUUGAGGUCUGCAGCGUAGAUCCUUCGGGGUUAGAUGCAUUUGUGCUAAGUUAUAGCCUUUCAUAGACAACUUGUUGACUAUGAUCAGUCAUGUAGCUUACUCGCUUAUGCUAUUUUACCUACGCUUAGGAUGUUGACGAUCAGCUAGCGCG
rnacentral:rRNA from 1 species